AAGCCUCUUAGGAUACUUCCAUGAGCUCUGUGAUAACUGUGAACUGUCAACUUCACACAGACUAGAAUCAUUUGAGAGAAGAGCCCCAAUGAGGGGAUCAUCCACCUUGGAUUGACCUGUGGGUAUAUCUGUAAGAGAUUGUCUUUAAUUUAAUUAAUGUGGGAAGAUUCAGCCCACCUAGGGGUGGCACCAUUCCCUAGGCAGGGGGUCCUGAACUGUGCAGAAAUCAAGCAAGCUGAGUACAACCAAGCAAGGACUGUUAUACCUACAUCAAUUCUCUCUGGUCUUGACUGUGGAUGUGAUGUCACUAGCUGCUUCAGGAUCCUGCCUUGACGUCUCCACAGCGAUGGACUGUGACAUGAGCUUGUUAGGCAUCAAACUACUUUCUCGACUAAGUUUCUUUUUCCCCUGGGAAAUUUUAUCACAGAAAUAGAAAUGAAACUAGAGUAAGCAGCUUGCCAACCCUGCCCAGUACAAAGAGCAAUCUCCCUCUUUCAGUGAGACCACCAUGUCCAGUUUCCCCAGCACAAUGAAGGAAUGCUCCUUCAACAGCUCAGGGACUUCACCAACAUCCUUGACCAAAUGAUGCUGUACCCCUUCCCAAGCUCCUGAAAGAGUUUUCCACAACAAGCCUCAUUCCCAUUUGUACAGCUCUGGCAAAGCUUACCAGGGACUCCAUUUCAUCUACCAGUGCCACUGUAGGAAUUAAAAGUUUUUAAUGCUUAGUUAAGUAGUGUAUGUGCAUGUGUGUGCACAUGUGUGUGUGCACAUGUCUGUGCACAUGUUGUAUGUGCACAUGUGUGUGUACACAUGUAUGUAUGUGAAGCUCAGAGAGCAAUGUCAACUGUUCUCCCUCAGGUACUGUCCAUAUUUUCGUUUUUAUUCCUCAUUGUGUGUGUGUGUGUUUGCACGUGUGUCAGUGCAUGUGGGAAGGUACCUAUGCACUUGUGUGGAGGCAAUCCAAGGUUGAUGUCUAGAUUCACCUGCAAUAGCUCUUCUACCUUAUUCAAUGAGUCAGGGUAUCUCAAUCAUACCCAGAGUUCACUGAUAUCGCUAAUCUUGCUCUCUGACUUGCUCUAGGAACCCCUUGUCUCUGCCUUUCAGGGUUGGAACUACAGGUGCCUUGUUUUUUUGAGGCAGGUCCCUCAUUGAACCUGGAGCUUGCCAAGCAGGCUGGGCUGGCUGGCCAGCGGGCCCGAAGGAUCCACCCAUCUCUACCUCCCCAAGUCUGGAGUUACAAGUGUGCACUAUAGUACCUGGUUUAUUUCAUGUGUUCUGAGGGUUAAACUCUGGUCCUUGUGCUUGUACUUUGCCCACUGAUCAAUCUCCCUAGACCUUACUGUUAGCAUAUUGAUUAGCAGAAACCAUAAUCACCCUAGGAUUCCCAUCUGUGGUAUAUUGUGUUACUUAUCAGAAAUAUUUACUUUCACUCCCUGCCUCGUUGAUAUCAGACUUGGCUUAUGACUUCCCUUGCUUCUCCCUGCUAUCUUUAAUAUCCUUGUCCUGUCUGUUCCAGGAAAACUUGUUUAAGCCAGCCAAAUAUGUGAUGAACACACAGCAUCAUUAAAGCCAAGUGACCUUUAAAAGGAAGAUGUUGAUCACAAUGGUUAGCGCUUAUGAUCAACUUGACACCGUCUAGAAUCACUGGGGAGGACAGCUUUAAUGAGAGAUCAUCUGUUUUAUUGUCCCGUCCAGCAGGACCCGGGUAUUCGUGGGUGCGAGGGGGACCGCAAACCUGAAGAGAAAUGAGCGAGAAAGAAGAGCGAGACCAAGCAAAGAGUUGUCAAGGUUUCUUCAUCAUUCUGGAUCCCAGAGGAGGGGACAGACACUGGGGUGACUAAAUCCCAUGAAUGACAAACUUUUGUGCUUAUAAAGCACUGAGCCUGGAUGGGAUGUUUGUUACUGUAACACAACCUGACAUUCCUAGCCGAUACACCAACUCCCCAGCAAGAGGG
rnacentral:lncRNA from 1 species